rfam:Pan troglodytes isolate Yerkes chimp pedigree #C0471 (Clint) chromosome 16, whole genome shotgun sequence.
GCUGGGUGUGGUGGCGGGCGCCUAUAAUCCCAGCUACUUGGGAGGCUGAGGCAGGAGAAUCAUUUGAACCCGGGAGGCAGAGGUUGCAGUGAGCUGACAUUGUAUGCCACUGCACUCCAGCCUGGGCAACAGAGUGAGACUCUGCCUCAA